ACAGAGCUAGUGGUGAGGACCUGGGGGUGGGUGGGCUCUGCGUCUUCCUUUUUUCUGUAUUUCAAGCUUUGGGGACAAGCCAGGUGAAAUGACUCAGCCAACAGGAAGAAGGAGAUUGCUGGCAGCCAGCAUGCUGGCCAGUGCUAUGGAUUCAUGACAAUACAGAGCUAAGUGUCACCUUCCUGCCGGUCCAUUUGCCCAUACAUCCGUCCAGUCAUCCAUCUGGCCAUCCACCCCCUACAUGUUUACUAGGUUAUCCAGGAAGGAUUGGGCUGGCCUGGUGAACUCUGUCUCGGUUGGUCAAGGACAACAAGUGGAGGCCUUGCUCUGCCUGGGAGAAGACCGCCCUCAGUUAACAGCAUGUCGAGUCUAGUCAGCAGUUAGCAUGGAUCUCGGCUAACCUAAUCCAGAUGAUCCCUCACAGGUAUGUCCAGAAGCGUGUCUCCUUGGUGACUCUAGAC